ACGACCUUGGAAAGCGGGAGGGGGCAGGAGAAGGUGGGGAGGAGGGAGAGGACGGCGUGGUAGAGAAAACAGUGGAAGAAAACGCGGAGGCGAGGGCGGGACAGGAUGCAGUGGGGAGAAGGCCGGGCGCUGUGGCUAAAACCUGUAAUCCUAGCACUUUGAAAGGC